rnacentral:miRNA from 1 species
UCUGUGCUCCGGGGGCUGUGC